rnacentral:miRNA from 1 species
CUGACCGGCCUGGGAUUCCUGCCUUCUAGGUCUAGGCCCAGUGGGAGACUCCACCCAGCGG